rnacentral:rRNA from 1 species
CCUACGGGGGGCAGCAGUGAGGAAUAUUGGUCAAUGGGCGGAAGCCUGAACCAGCCAAGUAGCGUGCAGGAUGACGGCCCUACGGGUUGUAAACUGCUUUUAUACGGGAAUAACGCGCCUUACGUGUAGGGCUUUGCAUGUACCGUAUGAAUAAGGACCGGCUAAUUCCGUGCCAGCAGCCGCGGUAAUACGGAAGGUCCGGGCGUUAUCCGGCUUUUGUGGGUUUAAAGGGAGCGUAGGCCGCAUGUCAAGCGUGCUGUGAAAUGUCCGGGCUCAACCCGGGCCUUGCAGCGCGAACUGGCGUGCUUGAGUCCGCGGAAAGCAGGCGGAAUUCGUCGUGUAGCGGUGAAAUGCUUAGAUAUGGCGAAGAACCCCGAUUGCGAAGGCAGGUUGCUGCAGCGGAACUGACGCUGAUGCUCGAAAGCGCGGGUAUCGAACAGGAUUAGAUACCCGGGUAGUC